rnacentral:lncRNA from 1 species
CUUCAAUUUCAGUGAUAUCACCCAGAUUGCUCGUUCGCUCCAUAAUGUAUCAGUAUACCUGAAAAGACAUCACUAUCUUGGCUGAUGGGCUCUUCUCUGUCCUGUGGUGGGACCAUUUCGGGACCAGAUGGAAGGCAACCUGACUACCACAGAAGAUACCUCACAGUUAUCCCAUCCAUCAGGAGAAUAUCAAGACUAGAAGACACACUACAACAGAUUGUUAACUCAAAGCUGAAUUUUUCUAUUACUGGAUUGUGCUGUAGCCUGCAAGGACUACUUCAGAAGGUGCAGGUCAAUGGUGUCUUCCAGCCCUAUCCAGACAUCUGCAGGACAGCUUUUAGUGCAUUUAAACAAAUAAAUUCUUUGUCUUUAGAAAUUAUGUAUGCCACAAUGUUUAUAGCAGCAAUUUUUCCACCUCUACGUUCUUCAGGCCAUAAUUUUGCUCUUACUGUGCCCUGAAUACUGCCAUUACAUUUGCUCAAACUGAUGCAGGAAGGAAUCUCUCCUUGCCGACAAUGAAGUUACAAAAUUUGUCUUUUUUUUUUUUUUUUUUUUUUUGUCUCCAGCAACUGUCAAAAGGUUACCUCAGUCCACCAGCUAACAUAAUAAGCAAUGAUAGCAUUAACAUUAAAAGAAUGGUGAAUACCAUUUAGUUAAAUCUAAGACCUGAUUAAAUUACAUGUGCCUGAAACUGCUCCAAUAUUUCUGAAACCUGUUUGACAUUCACAGUGAAAGCAUAGUCCCAGAAGAAAUGCUGGUACUUAUAAAACUGUAAUUGGUCAAAUUCUAUCUACAGAGGCAUCACUCUAAAUAUAACAUUUGAUUAGUAGUCAGACAUUUUGAAAUUAAUACAUACAAUUUCACCUCCUAAAUAUUCAGAUUUCUUUAGUAAUUCUUGAUAGCAGAACAAUUAAGUAAAGUAAAUGUGUAAAUAUAAAUCUUGUCUCAAGGUGUAAACACUAGCAAAAGCUCACCAAUUUAUUAACAAG